rnacentral:rRNA from 1 species
UACGAAGGGGGCUAGCGUUGUUCGGAAUCACUGGGCGUAAAGGGCGCGUAGGCGGCUUUAUAAGUCGGGGGUGAAAGCCUGUGGCUCAACCACAGAAUUGCCUUCGAUACUGUAGAGCUUGAGACCGGAAGAGGUAAGUGGAACUGCGAGUGUAGAGGUGAAAUUCGUAGAUAUUCGUAAGAACACCAGUGGCGAAGGCGGCUUACUGGUCCGGUUCUGACGCUGAGGCGCGAAAGCGUGGGGAGCAAACAGG